GAUAAACGCUGGCGGCGCACAUAAGACAUGCAAGUCGAACGGACUUAACCGAAAUGUUUACAUUUUGGAGCGGUUAGUGGCGGACUGGUGAGUAACGCGUGAGCAACCUGCCUAUUAGAGGGGAAUAACAGUGAGAAAUCAUUGCUAAUACCGCAUAAGCUGAUAAUAUCGCAUGAUAUAGUCAGAAAAGGAGCAAUCCGCUAAUAGAUGGGCUCGCGUCUGAUUAGCUAGUUGGUGGGGUAAAGGCCUACCAAGGCGACGAUCAGUAGCCGGACUGAGAGGUUGAACGGCCACAUUGGGACUGAGAUACGGCCCAG
rnacentral:rRNA from 1 species